rnacentral:rRNA from 1 species
GAUGAACGCUGGCGGCGUGCCUAAUACAUGCAAGUCGAGCGAACAGACGAGGAGCUUGCUCCUCUGACGUUAGCGGCGGACGGGUGAGUAACACGUGGAUAACCUACCUAUAAGACUGGGAUAACUUCGGGAAACCGGAGCUAAUACCGGAUAAUAUAUUGAACCGCAUGGUUCAAUAGUGAAAGACGGUUUUGCUGUCACUUAUAGAUGGAUCCUCGCCGCAUUAGCUAGUUGGUAAGGUAACGGCUUACCAAGGCGACGAUGCGUAGCCGACCUGAGAGGGUGAUCGGCCACACUGGAACUGAGACACGGUCCAGACUCCUACGGGAGGCAGCAGUAGGGAAUCUUCCGCAAUGGGCGAAAGCCUGACGGAGCAACGCCGCGUGAGUGAUGAAGGUCUUCGGAUCGUAAAACUCUGUUAUUAGGGAAGAACAAAUGUAUAAGUAACUAUGCACGUCUUGACGGUACCUAAUCAGAAAGCCACGGCUAACUACGUG